CCGCGGUAAUACAUAGGGUGCAAGCGUUGUCCGGAAUUAUUGGGCGUAAAGAGCUCGUAGGUCGUUAAUUACGUCGGGUGUGAAAAUCUGGGGCUCAACCCCAGACCUGCACUCGAUACGGGUUAGCUAGAGUUUGGUAGGGGAGACUGGAAUUCCUGGUGUAGCGGUGGAAUGCGCAGAUAUCAGGAGGAACACCAAUGGCGAAGGCAGGUCUCUGGGCCAAUACUGACACUGAGGAGCGAAAGCGCGGGGAGCGAACAGGAUUAGAUACCCUGGUAGUCCGCGCCGUAAACGGUGGGCGCUAGUUGUGGGAACCUUCCACGGUUUCUGCGACGCAGCUAACGCAUUAAGCGCCCCGCCUGGGGAGUACGAUCGCAAGAUUAAAACUCAAAGGA
rnacentral:rRNA from 1 species